GCCGCCAGUAUCCAGCAGGCAGGCAUCCUUCUCAGCCCUCAGGUGAGGGUGGCCUUGGGAUAGAAAGAGUGGGAAGAUGGGCUUCAGACAAGGCCCAACACACUGGAAAUGCCGGGCUCUGUGGCCUUGAAGCAACUGCAUUUUAUUUGAGCAAAAGCUUUUCAGAGGCUCACGGGUUUACAACUGGAAGGAACUCCAGAAGUCCAACCUCCGAUUUUACAUAGGAGGUAUAACUGAGGCCCAGUGAGGUUAAAUGACCUGCCCAAGGCCACAAAGAUGAGGUUUGGAGUUCAUGGUUCCACCCUGCAAUCAGAAAGACAGAAGGUGGUGAUGAGAGGACCAAAGCUGAUAAGAUCUUACAGAACAAGAGCUUUUCUCAAUAAUGAGCUUCCUGGGCCUGACAGAAAAGUCAGAGAAAUCCCAAAGC